rnacentral:tRNA from 1 species
GCCUGGCUAGCUCAGUCAGUAGAGCAUGAGACUCUUAACCUCAGGGUUGUGGGUUUGAGCCCCACAUUGGGCA